rnacentral:rRNA from 1 species
GACGAACGCUGGCGGCGUGCCUAAUACAUGCAAGUCGAGCGCAGGAAGCCGUCUGAACCCUUCGGGGGGACGACGGUGGAAUGAGCGGCGGACGGGUGAGUAACACGUAAAGAACCUGCCCAUAGGUCUGGGAUAACCACGAGAAAUCGGGGCUAAUACCGGAUGUGUCAUCGGACCGCAUGGUCCGAUGAUGAAAGGCGCUCCGGCGUCGCCCAUGGAUGGCUUUGCGGUGCAUUAGCUAGUUGGUGAGGUAACGGCCCACCAAGGCGACGAUGCAUAGCCGACCUGAGAGGGUGAUCGGCCACACUGGGACUGAGACACGGCCCAGACUCCUACGGGAGGCAGUAGUAGGGAAUCUUCCACAAUGGACGAAAGUCUGAUGGAGCAACGCCGCGUGAACGAUGAAGGCUUUCGGGUCGUAAAGUUCUGUUGUAAGGGAAGAACAAGUGCCGCAGGCAAUGGCGGCACCUUGACGGUACCUUGCGAGAAAGCCACGGCUAACUACGUGCCAGCAGCCGCGGUAA